UACGAAGGGGGCUAGCGUUGUUCGGAAUUACUGGGCGUAAAGCGCACGUAGGCGGAUCGAUCAGUCAGGGGUGAAAUCCCAGGGCUCAACCCUGGAACUGCCUUUGAUACUGUCGAUCUGGAGUAUGGAAGAGGUGAGUGGAAUUCCGAGUGUAGAGGUGAAAUUCGUAGAUAUCGGAGGAACACCAGUGGCGAAGGCGGCUCACUGGUCCAUUACUGACGCUGAGGUGCGAAAGCGUGGGGAGCAAACAGGG
rnacentral:rRNA from 1 species